rnacentral:rRNA from 1 species
GACGAACGCUGGCGGCGUGCCUAAUACAUGCAAGUUGAGCGCUGAAGGUUGGUACUUGUACCAACUGGAUGAGCAGCGAACGGGUGAGUAACGCGUGGGGAAUCUGCCUUUGAGCGGGGGACAACAUUUGGAAACGAAUGCUAAUACCGCAUAAAAACUUUAAACACAAGUUUUAAGUUUGAAAGAUGCAAUUGCAUCACUCAAAGAUGAUCCCGCGUUGUAUUAGCUAGUUGGUGAGGUAAAGGCUCACCAAGGCGAUGAUACGUAGCCGACCUGAGAGGGUGAUCGGCCACAUUGGGACUGAGACACGGCCCAAACUCCUACGGGAGGCAGCAGUAGGGAAUCUUCGGCAAUGGACGAAAGUCUGACCGAGCAACGCCGCGUGAGUGAAGAAGGGUUUCGGAUCGUAAAACUCGGUUGGUAGAGAAGAACGUUGGUGAGAGUGGAAAGCUCAUCAAGUGACGGUAACUACCCAGAAAGGGACGGCUAACUACGUG